AAUUGAACGCUGGCGGCAGGCUUAACACAUGCAAGUCGAGCGGGGAAGGGUAGCUUGCUACCUGACCUAGCGGCGGACGGGUGAGUAAUGCUUAGGAAUCUGCCUAUUAGGGGGGGACAACAUUCCGAAAGGAAUGCUAAUACCGCAUACGCCCUACGGGGGAAAGCAGGGGAUCUUCGGACCUUGCGCUAAUAGAUGAGCCUAAGUCAAAUUAGCUAGUUGGGGGGGUAAAGGCCUACCAAGGCGACAAUCUGUAGCGGGUCUGAAAGGAUGAUCCGCCACACUGGGACUGAAACACGGCCCAAACUCCUACGGGAGGCAGCAGGGGGGAAUAUUGAACAAUGGGCGCAAGCCUGAUCCAGCCAUGCCGCGUGUGUGAAAAAGGCCUUUUGGUUGUAAAGCACUUUAAGCGAGGAGGAGGCUACUUGGAUUAAUACUCUAGGAUAGGGGACGUUACUCGCAAAAUAAGCACCGGCUAACUCUGUG
rnacentral:rRNA from 1 species